UACAGAGGUCUCAAGCGUUGUUCGGAAUCACUGGGCGUAAAGCGUGCGUAGGCUGUUUCGUAAGUCGUGUGUGAAAGGCGCGGGCUCAACCCGCGGACGGCACAUGAUACUGCGAGACUAGAGUAAUGAAGGGGGAACCGGAAUUCUCGGUGUAGCAGUGAAAUGCGUAGAUAUCGAGAGGAACACUCGUGGCGAAGGCGGGUUCCUGGACAUUAACUGACGCUGAGGCACGAAGGCCAGGGGAGCGAAAGGG
rnacentral:rRNA from 1 species